rnacentral:rRNA from 1 species
UACGAAGGGGGCUAGCGUUGCUCGGAAUCACUGGGCGUAAAGGGCGCGUAGGCGGCCAUUCAAGUCGGGGGUGAAAGCCUGUGGCUCAACCACAGAAUUGCCUUCGAUACUGUUUGGCUUGAGUAGUGGUAGAGGGUUGGUGGAACUGCGAGUGUAGAGGUGAAAUUCGUAGAUAUUCGCAAGAACACCGGUGGCGAAGGCGGCCAACUGGACCAUUACUGGACGCUGAGGCGCGAAAGCGUGGGAGCAA